rnacentral:rRNA from 1 species
UACGGAGGUUCCAAGCGUUGUUCGGAAUUACUGGGCGUAAAGGGAGCGCAGGCGGACGAGUCAGUCUGAAGUGGAAUCCCGGGGCUUAACCUCGGACUUGCUUCGGAUACUGCUUGUCUUGAGUUCGUGAUAGGAAGACGGAAUUCAGGGUGUAGCGGUGAAAUGCACAGAUAUCCUGAGGAACACCGGUGGCGAAAGCGGUCUUCUGGCGCGAAACUGACGCUGAGGCUCGAAAGCGUGGGUAGCAAACGGGAUUAGAAACCCCGGUAGUCC